UGGUUCAGUGGUAGAGCGCUUGCCUUGCAUGCAUGAGGUCCUGGGUUCGAUUCCUCAG
rnacentral:tRNA from 1 species